ensembl:lncRNA
CGCACCCAGUGUUGAUCAGCUAAUGCUGCUUUUCUUGUUGGUGCACAGUGCCCCAUCAAAAGCAUUGUGAUCAUGGAUUUCCCAACCAUGUUUCUGUGUUGGCCUUGCAGCCUGUUAUGGAAAUCCUCAUAGUGCAGUAACCAUGAGUCUGUCAAGUUGGUAAAAAGAAUACAUAUAAUGUGUGGGGACCUGCAGCCUUUGUUUAUAUCUAUGGUAAUCCUGGGUAAGAGAGGGGAAAAUAGUUAUGAUUGUAUUAACUCUAUAAGGCCAAGAGCAUGGAAUUGCCUUCUGUCACAGCACCAGCUCUGCACUGCUGCACGUGCAGUUCAGGCAUUGUAAGCCUCACCUCCUUGCCUUUGUGUGGAAUUGCUCAAAGGCUCAUGGUAACAUAUCUUUGCUUCUGUUUUUAUUUCCUGCUGUGAGUGCAAGGGGCUUCUUUGACAAUGUUGGUUUAAAUGCAAGGCCAUGGAGUGUUUGGUUGAAAAUCUUUUCUGUGUCCAUCACUCAGCAGUCCUUUUUUUUCUUUCAGAUUCCUCCCAGCAUGAGUUGUCAGAACCAGGUGUGAAACCUGAAGUUGAGGUCACCCUUGAAGCUGAUGAUGGUGAUGACAACCUACCUCCUGACAAGAAGCUGAAGAAAAUUGAGUCUGGUAGUGAAGCUGCCAAUACUGGAAGAAGAACAGAAGUGUGCAGUUCCGAUUCCUCCCUGCAUGACUUCUCAGUGAUAGGAGACAGACCUGAGCUUGAAGUCACUGUUGAAGGUCAGCUCUUGUGGUCAUUGAUUUCAGCUGGUUGGGCAUUUUUUAUCAAAAUGUGCUUGCCAUACCCUACAGUUCUUGGCACUGAAGGAAGAGAGUUAUUGUGCCCAUGUUUGCAUUGUGCACUGCUUGGUAAACGUGCCUGGUGGAGAAGUAUUAGAAAACCAGAAUAUACUGAAGCAUGUUGGAGUUACUGGGCUUGUAUUAAAUGGUACCAGAGAGCAGAUUGCAUCCUUUGCAUAUUUUUCACGCAUUGGUAAUGAAAAAUAGUCAUUGAAUGGACCAGAUGUUCUAACAUUGAUUCAUUCUGGAGAGCACAUUGCUUUAUCAACUCCCUCUAGUUAUAUGUGUGACAUUUGUAGUUAGCACAGGCUUCUGGGAAGGAUGGUACCAGAACAGAAAGGCUGUGUUGCAGGUGGUGUAAGUGAAGUCUCAAGGUGUGUGUCUGAUAUUGGUAUGAGAUACCAAUUAAAUACUAUGAGAUACAAACCUGUGCACUUAGCACCUCCCUUUCUCACCUAAAUGGCUCUAAAGCUGCUGGUCAGUGUCCCUGCUGUUGUCAUGCUAGGAUCUUGGUAGGAGGUCAUCUGUGUCUCUGUGUCUGUGUGUUUGUGAAUUAGUGUCCUGUACCUGCUUUAAAUCACUGCUGAGAUGGGGUUUUGCAGUGCUUGCUUGUGGAAUUAGAUUGAGACCACCCAAUCAGCAAUUUAGAAAGCAGGCAGGGCAUUUGGGACAAAGUGGACACUUCUGGCAUGAGCUUCACCAUUUUACAUUGCAGCAUGGAAAUAAAUCCAACAUUGCCACAACGGAAACGUUUAUAUGAGAAGAGUCAUUAAGCUCUGCAUAUAUGUAAUGUUAUUUACCCCAAAAUUAGAAGUGUUCUGGAAAAGUUUUCUGUGACAGAGUAUAACAGAGCUGUAUAGGUACAGUGUAUGUGAAUAUCUGCUAAUGUUCUUGCUAAGUAAACCAUACCCUUGGUGACACGGUUACAUGUUUUUCUGUAUGUGAAAUUCAUUUUCUUUAUCUGCUCUAACCAUUUGUUUUCUCUGAGGCUGGAGGUAUUGAUAAUUGGGCAGUGUGCAAAGCUCAAUACCAUAGGAAGAUAGGGAUGGAUUGGGAAAUGAGUGUCUAAGUAGCAGCUCUCUGAGAGAUUGCUGGGUUUGCUGCUCUCCUGUCUGUCCUCUUGUGUGUGUUUAAGCUAGAGUUGACCUGUUAGAUGAAUUUUAUUGGCACCCAUUAGUUUUAAAGUGCUUUGAAAGUGGGUCUAGAAGAUUUGAGCUCUUUGAGACAAAACUGAGGUAGUGUCUUUUGAGAUCUGCUGGUGGGAUGAUGUUACUUCCAGUUGGAUAAAAAUGGUAGUCCCUAUCUGCACAAUUUAUUUUGUGAUUCCUUUUGGUCUUUCAUGAUUGUUUACUGAUCAUGCAAUGUCCAGCCAUGUUUCAGAAGACAGUGUUGUUUUUCUUAGGAAGUGCAGAAGCAGGUUGGG